rnacentral:rRNA from 1 species
AUUGAACGCUGGCGGCAGGCCUAACACAUGCCAUUCGAGCGGAGCGGCGAACGGGUGAGUAAUGCCUAGGAAUCUGCCUGGUAGUGGGGGAUACCGUCCGGAAACGGGCGCUAAUACCGCAUACUAUCAGAUGAGCCUAGGUCGGAUUAGAUAGUUGGUGGGGUAAAGGCCUAGCAAGGCGACGCUCCGUAACGGGUGUGAGAGGCUGAUCAGUCACACUGGAACUGAGACACGGUCCAGACUCCUACGGGAGGCAGCAGGGGGGAAGAUUGGACAAUGGGCGAAAUCCUGAUCCAGCCAUGCCGCGUGUGUGAAGAAGGUCUUCGGAUUGUAAAGCACUUUAAGUUGUGAGGCGUUACCAACAGAAUAAGCACCGGCUAACUUCGUGCCAGCAGCCGCGGUAAUAC